GUGGACGUAGCUCAGCCAAGUGUAGAGCGCCGGCCUGCCUUGCCGGAGGCGCGGGUUCGAUUCCCGUCGUCCACU
rnacentral:tRNA from 1 species